AUACACACCAAGGAAUAAUACGACGAUAGUGGCGCAAAUAUACAAACAUGUGGUCAACUGCAACCGAUCGUAGCGCUAUAUUUAUCGUCUAGGCUAGGUAACACAUGGUCACAAUUACCAAGACGAUAACGAUCUCAUUUACCAUUAAUAUGCGCAUAGAAAGGUUAACUGUUUGCCAAACUAGACAUUAAGGACAAUCACACUUCACCUCCAAAUUAAGGACUCGAACAUGCAAAGAGGGCUGAAUAAUCUACGAGAGAUACCGACACAAUAGCUCAAGUUUCAUUUUAAAUGUGAUAAAUGGUCAUUAAAUGUGUAGUAAAGCAUGUCAGAAUUAAGACAUUGUACAAUUGAUAUUUAGAGAUUGCAUUCAAUGCAGCUGAAUGAAUCCCCACCCGAUGGAACUGAUACACGUUGCAUGUGUCCACAAUACCAUCAAAAUGAAAGAUGACCAAAGGUCAUUU
rnacentral:lncRNA from 1 species